rfam:Escovopsis weberi scaffold00001, whole genome shotgun sequence.
ACAUACGACCAUAUCUACUAGAAUAUACGGGAUCCCGUCCGCUCUCCCAUAGUCAAGCCAGUAAGAGGCAGAUUAGUAGUCAGGUGGGUGACCACUGGCGAACACCGGCUGUUGUAUGUU